GGAGGAGUGGCUUAAUGGUAAAGCGCUGCACUGUCUAUGCAGAGAUUGAGGGUUCGAGUCCCUUCUCUUCCG
rnacentral:tRNA from 1 species